UGGAUUAGUGGCGAACGGGUGAGUAACACGUGGGCAAUCUGCCCUUCACUCUGGGACAAGCCCUGGAAACGGGGUCUAAUACCGGAUAAUACUUUCCCUCUCAUGGGGGAAGGUUAAAAGCUCCGGCGGUGAAGGAUGAGCCCGCGGCCUAUCAGCUAGUUGGUGGGGUAAUGGCCUACCAAGGCGACGACGGGUAGCCGGCCUGAGAGGGCGACCGGCCACACUGGGACUGAGACACGGCCCAGACUCCUACGGGAGGCAGCAGUGGGGAAUAUUGCACAAUGGGCGAAAGCCUGAUGCAGCGACGCCGCGUGAGGGAUGACGGCCUUCGGGUUGUAAACCUCUUUCAGCAGGGAAGAAGCGAAAGUGACGGUACCUGCAGAAGAAGCGCCGGCUAACUACGUGCCAGCAGCCGCGGUAAUACGUAGGGCGCAAGCGUUGUCCGGAAUUAUUGGGCGUAAAGAGCUCGUAGGCGGCUUGUUGCGUCGGUUGUGAAAGCCCGGGGCUUAACCCCGGGUCUGCAGUCGAUACGGGCAGGCUAGAGUGUGGUAGGGGAGAUCGGAAUUCCUGGUGUAGCGGUGAAAUGCGCAGAUAUCAGGAGGAACACCGGUGGCGAAGGCGGAUCUCUGGGCCAUUACUGACGCUGAGGAGCGAAAGCGUGGGGAGCGAACAGGAUUAGAUACCCUGGUAGUCCACGCCGUAACGUUGGGAACUAGGUGUUGGCGACAUUCCACGUCGUCGGUGCCGCAGCUAACGCAUUAA
rnacentral:rRNA from 1 species